rnacentral:rRNA from 1 species
UACGUAGGGUGCGAGCGUUAAUCGGAAUUACUGGGCGUAAAGCGUGCGCAGGCGGUUCGUUGUGUCGGCGGUGAAAGCCCCGGGCUCAACCUGGGAAUGGCCGUUGAAACUGGCGAACUGGAGUGUGGCAGAGGGGGGUGGAAUUCCGCGUGUAGCAGUGAAAUGCGUAGAUAUGUGGAGGAACACCGAUGGCGAAGGCAGCCCCCUGGGCCUGCACUGACGCUCAUGCACGAAAGCGUGGGGAGCAAACAGG